CAUUAUUGUGGCUGUUUCUUUGCAAGCUGUGUGUCGUUAUUGUCAGUUAUCUCGCAAGCAACUUUAUCGUCAAAUUCCAACAAGCAGCAAGUCGAGCAAAACAAAACUAUACCUUCAAAAAUGAAGAACCUUCUGUGUUUCCUUGUUGUUGUGAGUCUGGUGUCUGUCCUCGUCAGCGGUUACGAGAGGGAGGAAGACACAAAGCUGACCGAACUGCUGCGUGAAGUGAAGGACUAUCUGGAAGUCAAGGAGCUUUACAAGGACUUGGCAGAAGGCAUUGAUAAGAGGGGGUGCUGUCCUUGCCGCUUACAAAUUUGUAGAGCACACCUAUGCUGUGCCUGAGCAGGGUUUAGGCCUAUCCCGAGUCCACCAUGUCAAUGUGGAGGAUUCACCAUUGGUGUAUCUGCUCAUCGUUGCUAUUCAGUCUCAGCCACAAGGAAUGAAACAAUAUCGUAAUUAGCUCUUAUGGCAUUUUAAAAAUCUUAUAUUAAUUGGGUAAAUGGGUAAUAUGUAAAAGCAUUAUUCUCUUGUCUGUAAUCUUUUAAAGCUCUUUGUGUAAUGCUCUAAUUUCCUAUCUGAUUGGUGAUAUUAUUAUUAACUUUACAUUAAAAUUGGUCAGAGUUUCGUUAAAAAGCGAGUAAAUUUCGCCACUCCUUAUGUCAUAUACCAAUCGGACACAGGGUAUUAUUGGCAGUACCAUCAGGGGUAACAAGAUAUGAGGUGAGGUCAAGUUACCAGUAGAGGGCGCAUACUGACAGUGUUAUUGAACACGAAGAUGAGUUUGUAUCGAUUCAUAAUGCAGUUCGGGGGGAAAAGGCCUUAUUAAAUUUCUCAAAAAUAACUCAAAUGCCGCUGCAUUUGGACUAUAUUUGUUUAAUCUCACAAAGUAACAGAAGUCUAAAUCUUCACUUGAAAAACUACUGGGCCAUUGACCGGAAUCUGAAUCCAAACCUGCUCAGUCCUUUUCUGGUAAAAAAAAAAAAUCCAUUAGGGGGGUCAAAAGUGACUUUUUCGAGGCCAUUUUGAUCCAAACAAGUGUCGUUUUUACCAGAAAAAGGACUGAACAAAUUUGGAUUCAGACUCGGGGUCAGUCUGAGACAGAGGUUUUAAGAGUAAUCGUUGCUAAAUAGAAAUCUUUGGUGAUGGUUUGGUUGAUUUCAAUAAAUUUGAGCGUUGGUGAUUGGAGAAUGCAA